GUUGGUAGAGCAGAGGACUGAAAAUC
rnacentral:tRNA from 3 species